rnacentral:lncRNA from 1 species
GCCUGUCACCAAGGUGACCACCGACAUCACCAAAUUCUCUUUUGUCACAAUGUGACAGUAUCUUUCCACUUUCCCCCUACUCCUGAAUGUCUAAAGAACUCUCAAUGCAUAUUAGCCAUCACCAUGGUUGAGACCCAGACCUCUGCAGAGACAAUCUUGAUCCUCUGGCUCCUGCUUCACAUUGCCCAUUCACCCUCAGCACUGAAAUCCUUACCUCAAGCGCUGGGAAUUCAGGCCAUGGAAGAUUAGGAGGCUCACAGCAGGAGCAAGUUAUCCUUCAAGAUUCAGGACAAAUGUCACUUCCUCAGUGAAGCCUUCUCUCCCUCCUUGGUGUCUCCAUAAUACUCUGCUUAGACUUCACAUAUAUCAUGUGUUUUCCUACUAGAUUCUGAACUCCCCGAGAGCGGCAACCCAUAUCUUAACUCUCUUUGCAUCAACAGAGCCCAAUACAAUGCCUGGCACAGAGUAAGCCUCAAAUAUGUCUAUGAUAUAAAUUUUCUAAUAAAAUGUCUAUGGUAUCUAUUGUCUAUCUCAGAGUGAAUUUAAGAAAUUCAACAUCUCUUACAAAUCUAGAUCAUUCACUUAACAGAAUGGC